GGGGAGGUGAAGUACCUGCGCAUGGAGCGGAGUGGAUCAGCGAAGUUUCAGCGCAGGUUUCGGCUGCCGGAGGAUGCUGAUGCGGGGGCGAUUAAGGCGAGUUGUGAGAGCGGGGUGCUCACUGUGACGGUGGGGAAGGUGGUGGCGAAGGAGGAGGGGAAGCGGAAGACUGUGGAGGUGACUGUUGGUUGAGAAGCGAAGCGCGGCGAAGGGGGAGGGGAAGCUGAAGACUGUAAGUGACUGCUGUUGGUUUAGUAGCGAAGUGCUUUUAUUGUUUUGGUUAAUUAGUAG
rnacentral:misc_RNA from 1 species